rnacentral:lncRNA from 1 species
CUCGGUUCUUCCCUGGACACCAAUGUCCUAUGGAGCACACAGAAAGCCACGGAAGUGUGGUCUGCGGGUUGAGGUGGGUAUUCAGAUGCCAGCCUGCAGCCCACUUACAUUGUUUCUUUUGGACUGACACCUUGCCGGAUGCUCAGAUGCCCACAGCGCAGGGGAAGGGACGGCCUAGAGUCCGAGGCGUGGGCAGGGAGCUGGCCCCCGUCCAUUGCUGCAGCUCCGCAGCAGCAGGACAGCCCUGGGAGGUGGAGACGGACUCCGUUCAUGUGGAUAAGCAGAGGAAAUUUGGCAGAAACGACCAAAUGCAAAAUACGUGUAGCAGCCUGAGACCGGCCGUCUACUGAAACAAAGGAUGCAGUUCAGUCGGAAACCACGCUUAGCUGAGUAGCUGUCUUUAGCCAUCCAGGCCCUGAGAACCAAUGAACAACCCAGCUUGGCCGCUUAGAACAUUUUUUCUAUACUUGAGUUAAAUAGAUAUCCAAGAACCAUUACUCGUUUUUAAUGUGGAGAAGUCGGUAUUCUAUUCUCGUGUUCUAUGUUUUUUAAAGUGGCAAUUUGAAUUAUUUCGUGCGAUAGAAAACCUUAAACACAAAGUAACGUUUCUAACAAAAGGGCUGUCGAUCAAGUGACAAACACGUCCUACUUUUAGAUACAAGCACGACUGAGGCAACGGCACGAAGACGCCUAAAGUGGGCUGCUGGGGAGACAAGAUCUGGCCGCGAAUGGAACUCGCGGCAGCUCAUUAACGGGACCGUCCAGCAGGAAGGUGGGUUGGCAGCCUUCUCCCAGGGCUCCCCACGAUCCCUACCCCUGGUGUGGCGUGGCCUUCCUCCUCACAUGUCGUCUGGACCAAGCAGUGUGUUGUUCUCAUCCAUAAAGAGUGAUGGGCCGGGCACGAUGGCCACACCUGUGAUCCCAGCACUGUGGGAGGCUGAGGCGGGAGGAUCUCC